rnacentral:ncRNA from 4 species
AUCUAGCCCCGAUAGAGGCGAUAUCCUCGUAGUGAAACGGAGAGAUAAAGCCGAAAGCGGGAACUGUG